GCCAGGUAUGGUGGCGCAUGUCUGUAAUCCUAGCGACUUGGGAGGCUGAGGCAAGAGAAUCAAAGUUCGAGGCUACCCUCAGCAAUUUAGCAAGGCUCUAAGCAACUUAGGGAAACCCUGUCUCAA
rnacentral:sRNA from 1 species